AGCGAGCCCAACCAGAAACCAACCGUGUCACCACUACUCCCCUCUCCUCUUCACAAGCGAUGGCGGCGGCGACUCCGGCGAGCGGCGGCGGCGGCGGCGGGUACUCGUGCGAGACGGCGGAGCAGACCCGCGAGUGGAUGGAGGCCAUCUCCGCCUUUCUCCACCUCCACCGCCCGCUCCUCGAGGCGCACGUCGUCAACUUCUUCAAGGAUCGGCUGUGGGAGAUGGUGGAUGCGGAGUGGAUGGAGUGCCUCCGCAGGGAGCCCGUGGAGAGCUUGCUCAUGUUGCCCUCCGGAUGUGUUCAGGAGCACUGGCCCAGUUCAUUGCGAGAUUUUGUACUCACUGCAAAGUCACUUGUUCUUCCACGGGAGCAGAAGUCACCGCGAUCACUCCUACCCGACUUGCAUGUAGCAUCAAUUAAUACUGUUCUCGCUCAAGGAAUGAACUCCAAGAAGAAGCAUGAAAUUGAAACUCUAGCUGGGUUGGUUCAUGCAAUUACCAAGAGCUGUGGAGCAAAGACAGUGAUUGAUGUAGGUUCUGGCCAGGGUUAUCUUGCCCAAGCCUUAUCUUUUGAGUACCAACUCCCUGUUGUAGCAAUAGAUGCUUCAUCACAUCAUGCAUCAGUUACAAAUACUCGUGCAGAAAGAAUAAAGAAGUACUACACUGCUAAAUGUGUAGGGAAGCAACAGCUCAGAGUACCUAGAACUGUUACUUGCCAUGUACUUUCUAGUGACACAUUAGCAGCUGUGACAUUGGAAGCAUGUCAGGAUGAUCAUGCUGAACAUGUACCAGAAAGUAAAAACUUCAACGAGAGCAGUCCACAGAUUGAGAAACCAAAUGACAGCAUUCCUCCAUUAGUCCUUGCUGGUCUUCAUGCUUGUGGUGAUCUUUCAGUUAACAUGCUAAGGCUUUUUGUGUCGUGCGAACAAGUAAAAGCAUUGAUAAGCAUUGGCUGUUGCUACAACUUACUCUCUGAGGAAUGCCACGAAGACACAAAUACCUGUCCUGGUUUUCCUAUGAGCAAGGCUGCUAAACUAUCUAAUUUGGUGCUUAGGAAAAGCACCCGUGACCUUGGUUGCCAGAGUGCAGAGAGAUGGAGAAGUCUCACUAAGGACAUAGCCCUACAAAAUUUUGAUAUACAUGCCUUCCGUGCUGCAUUUCAAAUGUUUCUUGAGAAACAUUUCCCAGAGGUGUCAAGAUCGAGUCCAUCAAUUGGGAGGCAAGGAAAAGCACUACGCCGUCAAAGGCUUAGGAAAGUUAUGGAAUCCCCUAUGGCUAUGGCAGAAACUGACGCUUUAUCAUAUUCCACUCAAAAGGAACAAAUCAUGACCAAAGACGAUCCACUGCCCACAGGCCCUAAUAAUUUUAAAGAGGUUCAUGUAGACUUUCUUCCCGAGCUUUCAACAGGGUUUGUUGAUUCAGCUGUAUCUGGAGCUGCCGUUGUACCAGAUGACAUCUAUCUUGAUAAAUCACAAAAGUUCACCCUGUUUAAAGAUUUCACAGUGUCAGGAUUAGGUCGCCUUGGCUGUGAUUUUGUGGAAAAUGUUAGUUUACUUGAAAUAUGGAAGGACGUGCAACCCUUCACGGAAUUUAUAGGUCCCUUCUGGUGCCUUCGGGUUGCUUUAGGGCCACUGGUGGAAACAUAUAUUUUACUUGACCGGUUACUAUUUCUUCAAGAGCAAGGCAGUGUUAUUGAAGCAUCUUUGUUUCCGCUUUUCAAUCCCACUAUGUCUCCAAGGAACAUGGCAAUUAUUGCUUGGAAGUUGUCUGCAAAUCCUUCAAAAGUGUGACAUGGUAGGAUGGAGUUCUCAGUUUCCAACACUGCAGAAGUCCUUGCAAAUCCAUAUACGGGAGAGUGGAAGAUUUUGCCCUCGAACAGUGUGCCUUUAUCCAAUAAAUGCUAAGUCAACAUCUAGAACGGUUCCAAGGCCAUCCGGUGCAUGGCUGCUUGUCUCUCUGAAGUGAUAUCAUACAAGUUGCCACCAAACUUCACAUUCCCUGCAGGCUGCAAUAUGUUUAUGCAAGAUCGACAAGCUAUCACUAAUCAAGGAAAAAGUUGACGAGUCACCUUUUGUCUACAGAUAUACAACUCGCUGUUAUUAUUUAUACUUCUUUGAAGUAGAUUAAUCUUUAUAUUAUCCUAACUGGCUGGAAAAUAUGUUCAGCAAAGCAACACGGAUGAAUUGUUUCAUGAGAUCUUAUUUCUUGCCUAUCCUUAUUCAAUCGGUAAGCUUGUGUUUGAUAUAUGUGAAAUCAUUUGGAGAAGUCAGCACAGCAGGGUUUGGCUGAGAGAGACAAAUAAGAUUUGCUGUAAGCUGCCUAAUUACAUUGACUAUUUACUCUACAAAGCUAUGUAUUGUCUCAUAAAAUACUGAUGAAACCUGUUGGAUCUUUGAUGUGACGCUACCAACAUGGGAGGCUGGAGGAUGACUAAUGCAAGAGGUUGACUUGUGUAAGACAUUGUCUAUAAGCAUGUGCUUUUUCAUGAUUUUAUUAGCAAGUCGUGGUUCUAGGUUUUUCAUAGCUAAUCUCCGUAUGUGUCUCUGUGUGCCUGUUUCUGGAUUGCCUGCAUUUCUUUUAGUCCUCAAUUUUUUCUACUGUACCGUUCAUUGUUGCAUAAGCAUUCUUUAGUGGGUUUUUAGCUCCUUGAAUUGUUGGUGUUUUACCCAUAUGUAAGAUUUUUUUUUGAACUUCUGUACUGCUGGCUUAGCAGUUUUAAGAAUUGGCUUCUUUACCUACUUCUGGAAAAAAAAUUUCAAAUCUUGCUAAUAGAAGCAUGUCCGCGUUGACCAGUCCUCAACAUUCUUAUUUUGAGACCAAUCACGAUUGGACAGUUCAGAGUGAAGUGAUGCAAGCAAAGGUACAAUGUGUAAAGAGAGGGGUUACAAAAUCCUUGGGCCACUUGUAGAUGGAUAAGAUCUGUAGUAAACCUAACUCAUUUGUGUGUGAUAGCUCAAGAACAGCAAGCUGUCAUUUUGAUGGAUGAAAAUUUACAAUGGAAUUCAACUGGCCCAAGCUAUAUGCUUUCACUGGCUUGCUGUCAGGGUCAAGCUAGAGUUAAUUCGUUUGGCUGUAUUACCAUUGCAAUAAUUGGCUGAUUUUACUUCCAUGUGGCAACUGAAGCUUUCCCUUACCUUCUGUGUUAUCUUGAAGGUGAGAGAGCUAUGUGUUACGCCAACUUGUUUCGUCCUUUUUUUGCAGAAUUUGUUCACAGAUGGCUGCGAGAACGACAGUGCCUGUACUUCCGAUGAUGGAUCAGCAUCAAGGUGGCCACUCAGAGCCGUCGCGACUCUUCCCGUCUCCAAAUCCUUAUCCAGAUUUGUACACUCGGAGGUGCCAUGCAAAGCCGCAGGCUGUGUGGUGGUCUAAUUCUGACCAGCCAAUAACCCGUGGCGAGAUCUUCAGUAUCCCCUGUAACCUGGACUAUAUGGCGAAAAACUGUUCUCCGGUUUGAGUUCCUGGCAUGAGCUGAUUGAUUGAUUUAGGCUAAAAGUGAUGGAACUGGGGGCAAUCGGCGUGCGGUGUUAGGCCGUGCGAAGGAAGGGGAGAAAUGGGGGGAGGUAUGUGGAUGAGCUUUCUGCUGUUGCUGUCAUACCCAUUUCCAUGUCUCUUUCACUGGUUAGACCGGAGCAUAAAUUCCCCAUUAUUUUGAGAACUGCUGCUCAGCACAAGCCCUCAGUCAAGUCUUGCAAGAACAGUUGGUAAUCUUAUUCAUUCAUUCCCCGGGGUGUGGAUGGAUCCAUGGAAUAUCAUAUCAGCAUGUGUGUGCUGCAGUCCUAUCAGUUUUAUCACCUCCCUUAUAGGCCGGCCUGGCUUUUCCAUGACCAGUAAACUACUUCCUUCUUCACAACAACAGUGGCUUGAGCAAUUUGGUUGGUUUAGUGGCUAGUACAAUUAUAGUACUACUGCAAAGACAUGUUGAGGAAUCUGGUGCUGCUUGAAAAAUCUUCUCCUUGGGAUUGAUUGAUCGAUCGAUCAAAUGGAUAUCAUGAUUAGCUUGUGAUGAACUCCAGUAUGUAUACCACUUGUGAUCUGAUGUGCUGCUGCUCCUGCAGGACUGCAGAAGGAAUAUUUCCAGCAGGAGAGGUGCAGAAACCCCGGGCUACUGUCUAUUACUCCACCCUUGACUGGAACUCCACUACAGUACAUCCAAAUAUGCACCUGCUGUAUCCUACUUCUGGAUCAUCAUCUAUAUUAACCUCUGCCGUCCAUCCUCCAUCCGACGGGCCAGAUUCCUUUGUCGCGUUGCGGCGGGCGCCGUUUUGAGAUGGACUGGAACGGAAGACUGAGCUCAUGAGAUCGGCAGGGCAGGGCAGCACGCACGCUCGCGUGGUUUGUGUGACGCCGGUGCGCGCCGCGUGCGGGUCGCGCGCGUAACUGAAUUGAGGCUGAGGCUGCCCGGCUUUGUCGACAGGAACAGGGAGGGAUGGCGAUUGGGGCCGUGUGUGUGUCACUGUGUCAGGUCAGCUCCCUCCUCGUCUCGUAUGCUCCACGUCAUAUGGUGGUGGUGUCUACUGGAAUGUGAUCACCUCUGACAGCGAGCGCAUCUCGGGAGGCGUGCCACGGCGGCGGCGGCUUGACAGCUGGCACAAGAUCCUACAUUCCUUGGCCUGGAGCUCUGGUGUCAAAAUGUCAGCCAUGGGCUAAGAGGCUUUGGAUCAGCCUGAGCUCGACUGUUUUGACCGACAUAGCAUGAUGAGACUUGAUUAAUUCUUGGGGGUUCUUCGGAUCAUGCUAUAUUGCUGACUAAAAUCGUGUGCAUCAGUGCACAAAUCUCCGAGUUCCAUGCACCAGGAUCUCUGCUCUGAGUCGUGGCAGCUCACUCGCCAUGGGAUCAUGGAGGCAAAUUCUCCAUACCACGUGCUCCAUGAGUUCAUGGCACCACAUUAGCAAAGGUCAGAGACGAAGAGAGAAAUGAUGUGAGCCUUCUCUCUCCAGAGAAAGGCGAGGAGAAUAAAUACAUGCAAGUCACACUCAUUAUCUCAACACACAUUGGGGGCCACCUUAAAAACGCCAAUGCUUUCAACUCCUCUUUGCAAUUGCUGCGUAUGCUGCCCCUUGCAACUCGUGGGGCUGGAUAUAUAUGCAUCUCCUCAAUCUUUCUGAUCCUAAAUUCCUCAUCCUUUAAAUCUCUCCUCCCAGGCGCACGAAUCUCGAGGCGCUAAGGUUCUUGCAUGCAUGCCUUUCAACAUCUUAGCCACACGGAUGUGAUGUUGGGCAUGGUGUCCCUGAUCCUAAUCCUAAUCCAUCACAUAUGUAGGCUUAGAUUCUGCUAAGAUUAUAGCCUUUUUUUUUUCUUCUUCUUCUUCAUCUGCACUGGUCAAUUGUCAAAGAUGAAACUUAAUUAAGUAGUAAUUAACAAGCCAAAGAUGUGGGCCACACUCUAAAGGCAGCUUCUUUUUUUA